CCUACGGGAGGCAGCAGUGAGGAAUAUUGGUCAAUGGGCGAGAGCCUGAACCAGCCAAGUCGCGUGAAGGAUGACGGCCCUACGGGUUGUAAACUUCUUUUGUCAGGGAGCAAUUGGGUCCACGCGCUGGCUUAGCGAGAGUACCUGAAGAAAAAGCAUCGGCUAACUCCGUGCCAGCAGCCGCGGUAAUACGGGGGAUGCGAGCGUUAUCCGGAUUUAUUGGGUUUAAAGGGUGCGUAGGCGGAAUAUCAAGUCAGCGGUAAAAAUUCGGGGCUCAACCCCGUCGUGCCGUUGAAACUGAUGUUCUUGAGUGGGCGAGAAGUAUGCGGAAUGCGUGGUGUAGCGGUGAAAUGCAUAGAUAUCACGCAGAACUCCGGUUGCGAAGGCAGCAUACCGGCGCCCAACUGACGCUGAGGCACGAAAGCGUGGGGAUCGAACAGGAUUAGAUACCCCGGUAGUC
rnacentral:rRNA from 1 species